AUUGCAUGGUAGCUGGAAUUAACAGGGAAUUCCUCUUGUUUAGAUGAGGAUACAGCAAAUACUGCAUUCAGGCUGAUGUAAACGUCUGUCAUAGGGAGGGAAGAAGAGUGGAAAAUUCUUGCUGUGCGCCAACAGGUAGUCAAAACACGACUGGGAUGCACACCAGAACCUGGGAGAAUAAAAGGUCAAUUUGAAUAUAACCUUUGAGUCCUCAGGGAUUAAACAUUAAAAACCAGAGGUUGGUAAACUAAUUGAAAUACAAUGGGGAAAGUAAUCAUAAAAAAAWWUUAAAAUAAAAAUUUGAAAGUAGAUGUUCUGGAAUUGCUUCCUAACAUGACCAGUAAUAGUAUCAGUAGUGGACUGUAGUAUCAGAGUUCCUUGUUCUUCCUGUCCUAAACAGAGUAAUACAUGCAUUCUUACACUGUAAAGUAAGAGAAAAAUGUGAAAUUGAYACUUCCUUUCUUAUCAUCUCUUGCAAACCGAAAAGCAGAAUUAUUCAACUAGCUGAAACCUCCCCGAGACUGGGUGUCAUCAAACCCAGAUGCUUUGAAAGCCCAACUGUGUGGGUGAGUGACUUGACAGGGUGAGGGAGAGWGAUAGUGAAGACACAAAAAACACAAGUAGUGAGAAAUUAAGAUUUCAGAUUUUGGGUAUCUUCCAGCUUCUAUAGUAACUGAGUCACAGAAUAUUCUGAGUUAGAAGGGACCCACAAGGAUCAUUGAGUCUCACUCUUGAAUGUGAAUGGCCCRUACAGGGAUUGAACCCACAAUGUUGGCGUUUGCUGUUAAGAGGUAUCUAUUUCCAUAUAUUUGUUAUUUUAAAUGAAACAUUACUGUAUUUUAAUAUUAUCACUUUUAACAUGCUGAGACCUUGAUAUUUAACAGCAGAUGUGAUCAAGAUAAGAUAUUUUGCAGAUGUAAUUUGAUGCUUGCAGCAAGGAGAUGUUACUGAUGAAUGAUACACUCAAGUUUACUGAGUGUGAUUCCAUCAUCCUGACACCUAGCAUGCUCUUCAUUCACAAUGGAUUUAUUCUCUGCUAUGAAAUGCCUAUGAGUAAGUGCUAAAUGUUCAGCAUUUUAGAAGGGAAAUAUUUUCAUUGAAGCAGAUGCUUCUCAAAUUCUUCAGGAGCCAAAAAYGUUUCCUGAAAGUGUUGCAAGUCCCCACAGGAUUACUUCAGAGGAAGAAAAAGGACAUGAACAUGUAAAGAAGAAAGCUGAAGAAAGAUGGAUCACAGAGAUUUGUGAUUACUUCUAGAAGUGA